UUGUUUCUGGCACUGGCUGAUUAUGAAUGAAGUGGCUAUAAACAUUUGUGUAGAGGUUUUUAUAUGGACAUAAGUUUUCACUUCUCUAGGGUAAAUACCUAAGAGUGGGGUUGUUGGGUUAUAUGAUAAGUGCAGGAGCCCUGUUAAUGAAAAAAUGCUUCUCUUUACACAUGUAGGAUGUCCAGAUACUGCCGCCAUGAAAAGUGUAUGGAAAGUGAGAUCUCUCAAAGAUCAGCUAGCCCCUGCUCAACUGAGGCAUCAGCCCACUAGGUGGAAUCAUGCCCAGCGGUGCUAUUCACUGACUUUUUCUCUGGUUGUUGCUUGUUUUUGUAAAAAACACAUGCUAAAAGUCACCUGUGUCUAGUGAGACUCCCCCAGUACUUCAUCUAUGCUCCAUCCUGCUCCCACAGCUCCACCCUUCCAAAUUCCUAUGCUCACCUCACACUGACACCUAAUGUCAAUCAGAUUACCUAUUUUAUGUGUGAGUUCAUUGUUGGAUCAGCUUUGAUUGACAGGUGUCCAGGCAUUUGUUUCUCGAACCUGAGUCCAUCUCUGCUCUGCUGCUCUCCAGCCACCCUUCGCUAAAAAUAGCUCCCACUCAGAACCUGCUACUCAACAUGUGGACCUCAGACCAGCAGCAGCAUCCAGGAUCUUGUUAAAAAUGCAGGAUCCCAGUGGUCAAAUUCUGUAUAUGUUUUGAAGGCAGAAAACAGGAUUGACUGAUGAUUUGGAAAAAGGGGAUGAGCAAAAGAGGGCAUCCAAGACACCUCUAGGGUUGGUCACCAGCACCUGCAAGGCUGG
rnacentral:lncRNA from 10 species